AUUGAACGCUGGCGGCAGGCUUAACACAUGCAAGUCGAACGCAUCCUUCGGGGUGAGUGGCAGACGGGUGAGUAACGCGUGGAAACGUGCCCUUCAGUUCGGGAUAACCCAGGGAAACUUGGGCUAAUACCGGAUACGUGCGAGAGCAGAAAGAUUUAUCGCUGAAGGAUCGGCCCGCGUCUGAUUAGCUAGUUGGUGGGGUAAUGGCCCACCAAGGCGACGAUCAGUAGCUGGUCUGAGAGGAUGAUCAGCCACAUUGGGACUGAGACACGGCCCAGACUCCUACGGGAGGCAGCAGUGGGGAAUAUUGGACAAUGGGCGCAAGCUUGAUCCAGCCAUGCCGCGUGAGUGAUGAAGGCCUUAGGGUUGUAAAGCUCUUUCGUCCGGGACGAUAAUGACGGUACCGGAAGAAGAAGCCCCGGCUAACUUCGUGCCAGCAGCCGCCGUAA
rnacentral:rRNA from 1 species